GGAGGAAGGGGGAAAAGGCAGCCAUUCUGGUGACAUCCUUCUGGCCCUGGAGUGUGUGGAGGGGAUGGGCAGAGUGAGUCCCAAGGUCAAGGCCACAGAAUCUCCCAACCAGGCAGACA